rnacentral:rRNA from 1 species
AUAAGUCAUGCAAGUCAAGGGGCCGCAAGGGCAACCGGCAGACGAGGUAGUAACACGUAGGUACGUCCCCCGAAGUCGGGCAUAGCCGACCGAAAGUCGGGUAAUUCCCGAUAGUCCCGCAAGGGUAAAGGUUUUUCGCUUCGGGAGCGGCCUGCGUAGUAUCAGCUAGUUGGUAGGGUAACGGCCUACCAAGGCUACGACGCUUAGGGGAGCUGAGAGGCUGACCCCCACCGAUGGAACUGCGACACGGUCCAU